rnacentral:rRNA from 1 species
CGCGGAAUUUGCGCAAUGGGGGAAACCUGACGCAGCAACGCCGCGUGGAGGAUGAAAUAUCUUGGUAUGUAAACUCCUUUCGAUGGGGAAGAUAAUGACGGUACCCAUAGAAGAAGCCCCGGCUAACUUCGUG